rnacentral:snRNA from 1 species
GGAUAUGAGGGUGAUCUGGUUGCAACAUGUGACACCCCAUGGAUCACCAGGGUUUAUUAAGCUGAUCUAGCUGGCCAGGUAGGUGUCCCCUUCCUCCCUCACUGCUCCAUGUGCGUCCCUCCUGAAGUUGCAAGCUCAGUCCAAAGGAUGACCUUCUCUGAAUAAAGGAGAGCCUGUCUUUAGUCAAGAGUAUGCAAGUAACUGGCCUCCACUGCUAAAACCUCCAAGCAUAUUCUCAAAAUGUUUUCCAGGGAAUUAUGUUAUUUUGUAUUGUAUUUGAUUUUUAAAAAAUUAAAAGAUUCUCUUUUUAAUAUGUUU